CGAUGUGCUGCAAAAGAGUAAACAGUUAGAAAAGUUAGAAAACUUAUUUAAAUGCAAUCAAACUUGAUUUAACCAAACGCUUUUUUUGAGUAAAUGUUGGCUUACUUCGUAAUAUGCCAUGUUUAAAACACUCCUCCGGUGCUGUCAGUCUCCAGAUAUUCUACACUGACUUUCUAAACUGCUGUGGCGCUCAGAUGAUUUUAAAUACCCCACUAGUGCGCUGAAACUCCGCCUACUCACACACGCAAUCCACAGCGGCACGCGCGCGCUCGGGUCUCAGAGAACAGAUCUACCAGGCAGCGCGGUGGUGCCUUGAAGUCUAUACGCUGGCCACUAAAGUUCCAGCCUCAAGGCGACAGAAAACAAAUCACUGCUUGGCCAAGCCAUUCAUAGAGCUUGUUUGGUCAUGGAGACAGCUGAAAAGACUAUUAAGGGGGAACAGAGUCUGUGACAGACCCGCAUUAAUUAAAAGCCAAUUGGAGACGAAGCAAAGACUAGCCGAUUCACUGCUACGCUGAAUUAUCCAGGUCUUUGAGAGGAUUAGAUGGGCUGAUCUGAGGACUGAUAUGGAUCCCUCCUGUCUGUCAUUUGCAUCCUUUGUGGAAGGACAUUCACUGCUCUGUGUGUAUAUGUGUGGAUGGGGGUGGGGGGGCUUCAUGUUAAUGACCAGAACAUUUACUGUCAAACGUAAGUACGCAGAAGGCCACACACAAACAUUUUGUAUGUUGGGGUGGGGUUAUUUCCUUAACAGACGUUUAACUCAUUUUUGCCCUAUAUUUGGUUUGGCAUAGAAGUGUCUCCUCCCAUCUUUUCAGACAAGUAUUGAUCAUGAACCACUCCUAUCUGAGUGAUAUAGAAAGAGCGCCUCCUUGAAAAAUGUCUGCAGCUUUAUACAUUAUGACUGGAAACAAAACUUGCACUCUGAAUUUGGUUUAUUUGGGUCACGUUUGCAUUCAUUAAUCAGACACCUUUGCACAUCGACAAGUAAACCACAAGUACACAACUGAAAAUGAGUCACCAAGGCUGAAUUUAUUUGAUCAAAAAUACGUUUUCUAUUUGAAUAUAUUAUAAAAUGUCAUUUAUUCCUGUGAUGGCAAAGCUGAAUUUUCAGCAGAUCCCGCAGAAAUGUGCAUGUGCUUAAUGAAAUGCAUGGUUUAUUACAGUGAUGUCUGGCAAUUGGCAAAAAACAAUAGAGCUACUUUGGUAUUAAAUGUGCUUUAGGCUGGCUCAGUGUCUCUAAUUGGCCGAUAAGAUCCAUCUAAUUCAUUCAUAUGGAUAUUCUGUCACACCAGAGGGAUUACAAUGCAACAAUGAUCUGACUUUAACCUUUGUCAGUAAUGAGUGUAAUUACAUCACCAUGGUAACACAAGUUCAACACUGAGAUGAGACUGAGAGAGGACCAAGUCAUAGAAGCUUAUAAGAAAAUCUUUGAUUGUUAAGAACAGACUCUUACAGGGUAAACACACAAACACAUCUAGAGGUUUCCGCUCUCAGUGUGUCUGACAGAUUUCAGUGAACAGAUGUUUGUCUGCUGUCCAGGUGCUUGUUGUUCACCUCUGAACAUUCACUGCUAGUCAGUUCCUCAGAAUCACAGUGUGUGUCUACCUGCCUUUUGUUGUUUCAACCAAGUUACGGCCACAUCGCUGAAGAAGAGGGUCUUGAAGUAAAAGAUUUGUGGUUGAGGCUGGGGUGUGGUGUUGGCAUAUGCCCGUCUGAGUAUGAGUAUGUCUGUUUACAUCAAACGUACGUCUGGGUGUGGAUGGGGCUGCAUAUGUGUGGGAAGAUUGAGUAGAAAGGCAAGGGGUAUAUGAGACUUGAGAUCAGCUUUUUUUUUCUCACUGCGAUAGCGUGCGACUGAGUGUACCAAGCAAAACCGCAGCUUCCUGAUUUUUUUUGACACUUAUUUGUGCCUUCAUAUCUCAGCAAUACAGAGUUAUUUUGGAAUCAUGUUAUGUUAUGUAACAGGUCUUCAUGUUUUUAGCACACAACACACACUAUGAGGCAUCUCAGUUACAAUCUGCCUUGAAUGUUCUUACUUUGAAAAUGAAUGGCAUAUUAAAGCUUUAUUCUUUUUUUAGAUGUCUUCAACAUGCUCUUAAUGUAGCACACAUUGCAUGUUGUGCCUUUUGUGACUCCCUGCCUAAUUAUAUACCCACCCUUACGAAAAAUAAGUAUGCUUCAAGUUCAUUUAAGUAUACUCAAUAAUGUUCAAGUAUAUUUUUUAAGUAUACUUUAUGUAGUAAGUAUACUAUAGUAGUAAACUUGUAAGUGUACUAUUUCAAUACUGCUUGGGACUAAAUUCACCCAAUUUUAGUAGGCUAUAUAGAAGUAUACGUUUAACUUUAAGUGCACAGCUACGUUUCUCAUUUGUACCGCAUCUAGAGCUAGAAGUUAAAUAUUUUAAUACUUGUAGCACAUUUGUUAGUUUAUGAAAGUACACUUUGAAGUGUACUCUCAGUAAACUUUUAAAGUAGUUGUAAUAUAGUUUUCUUUAAGUGAAUAACAUCAUACUUAUAGUUUGCUAUUUAUAUGUUAUUUUUGCACUUUAGGUAUGUUCCUUUUUAGUAUUACAUUUUUAUAGAAAGAAAGAGUAAAGCAGAUUUGAAGUAAAUUUCUAUAUCUGUGGACUAGCCUACGCAAAAAUUCUGAAUUAGGAAUAAAUCUGUUUUCUUAAUCAAUCAUUCUUAAUCAAAGUUUAUUAGACAGUAUGUAAAACUAUGUGGAAAAAGUAUAUUUAAUAAGCUACUCAAUCAAAAGAUUAAACUCAAUUACAAGCUAAUUAUAUUUAGAAUACUUUGUUUUUAAAUAUCUCAAUCCAAAGAUUGAUAUAGUUCAAAUAUACUGAGACCUUUCUGUUAGUAAUUCAACAUUCAAGUAUACUUACGUGUAAUUUAGAUAAGUAUAUCAAGUAUAUUUCUGAGAAGUAAAUAAAAAGUAGACUGAAAGUAUACUUUCUUAUUUUUUAAGUUUAAAAGAAGUAUACUAAUAAUAGCACACUGAGAUAACCACCAUCAAUGUUUUCUCUGUCAGUGGCGCCAUCCUUUGGUAAUAAAUUGCUACUACUCAAUUCCGUCACUUACACAACAAUAGCAUGACAUUAAAAAAAAAAAAAAAAUAGCUAGUUGUGUUGUAUUAAAUCAAAUAUUUUGCAUUAUGCUGUACUCUUAGAACUACAGUAAAAGAAACAUCUGAAGACCAAACUUAAAGAGAGACCGGUUAAGAUCAGCAAAUCCUCUUCCUCAAGUCUGUCACUUACACAAUUAAAAAAAAAAGUAAACUGUGUAUUAUAUUUUAAAUUGUAUGCAUUGUGCUGUACUGUUUCUGCUGGAAAUGAAACAUCUCAAGUGACUUAAAGAUGAUUAAAAACUGGUGUUUAGCUGGUCGGCAACUGCACAACAACAACAACAAACAACUAGUGUUGUAGUACUCGAGAGUACUCGAGGUCUUGGUCUUUUCUUGGUCUUGGACGCAUUUGUACUCGUUCUUGUCUUAGUCUCAGACUGAGAGGACUCAGGAUUUUGUUUCAAGACCACAACUACGGGGAUAUCACUAAAUUGCAGGUGCAUUGUCUGAUUUAUUUAUUAACAUCGUUAAUGAUGUAAUUGGAUGUAAAACAUCCUGGUUCAAAUGCAGUUAAUAAUGCAAAUUGCAAUUUGAUUUAUAUAUUGUGCUGGAUCAGAAAUUAAUAAGGUAUUGUGUCAAAAUUAAUACAAAUGCUCACAAAAUUCAAGAUACUGUUGCAAUAGAGUACUUGUGAGAUGAGAUCAGGAUUUUUAUAUUAUAAAGGGAUAGUUUGCCCAAAAAUGAAAUUUCUGUCAUCAUUUACUCACCUGUAGAUUGUUCCAAACCGGUAUAAAUGUAUUUGUUCUGUUGAAAACAA